rnacentral:rRNA from 1 species
UACAACGAGAAGCGAACCUGCGAAGGCAAGCGGAUCUCUUAAAGCCGUUCUCAGUUCGGACUGUAGGCUGCAACUCGCCUACACGAAGCUGGAAUCGCUAGUAAUCGCGGAUCAGCACGCCGCGGUGAAUACGUUCCCGGGCCUUGUACACACCGCCCGUCACACCAUGGGAGUCGGAAAUGCCCGAAGCCGGUGACCCAACCAAAAGGAGGGAGCCGUCGAAGGCAGGUCUGAUAACUGGGGUGAAGUCGUAACAAGGUAUC